AAAUUUUCAACGAUGGAUAUCUUGGCUCCCAUAACGAUGAAGAACGCAGCGAAAUGCGAUACGCAAUGCGAAUUGCAGAAUUCCGCGAGUCAUCAGAUCUUUGAACGCAUCAAGCACCGAGAGGAUAUCCUCUUGGUAUGUUUGUUUCAGUGUG
rnacentral:rRNA from 1 species